CUAACAAGAGCGUUUGGGUUUGUUUCUGGACUUUAACUAGAGAAUCUUGGAGGAUGAGUUUGCACCAGGGGAGAAAUGGAGAACUCUACCAUCAACUGCCCAUUUAAAGCAGGCGGUGUGUUACAGGGAGGGGGUUUGGGAAGCUGUAGCAAACAUGGCCAGGAGGUGGGGGAAAGAGAGAGACUGGAGUAACUUGUGUGCACAGCCUUUCCAUAUACUAUGUCCUGGUGUGCCUGCUAGUAAACCAUGCCAUCAGGGGAGAGGAACAGCAGCUUCUCAUGUCCUGCCCAAGGACCGUCCAGAAACCUCAGCCGUCCUGUCGCCUUCUCGCCGCCUCUGCUGAAAGCUGCAGAUCAGUUCACGUUGACAGAUUGGAGGGGAAAUGUGCAAAUAUUUAUGGUUGCAGUUUCAUCUGUACAGAAAAAGAGCUCUGGUAGCUUCUGCUGAGACUUUAAGCACGAAACGCUACAAAAAAAAAAAAAAAAAGCAACAGCUAUUUUGAAGACUGAGUUUCUAAAAUUAUAUUCAGAUGGCUUUCUCCAUGCCAUGGGGAACAAGGCUCCUAGCAACCUUGAUCUCUCUUCUCAUCCUAGAAGCAAUUCUACUAGCAAAGCAAGAGGAUUUCAUCCUCUUUGGCUCUAGCCUGAAAAUGAUUCCAAGAGUUACUUGUAUUGGAUCAGCUUAAAUCACAUACUUCUCCCCAAAACAAUCACCAAGCCAGGAAUUGUCGUGAUCAAGCCACAUUGUCAAGACUACCCUUGGCAUUAGAAUGUCUGUUUGUUUGUUUCAUGGAGGGAGGUGUAUUGAGCAAGCAAAGAUAGUAACCUUUAUCUUGUAUGAGAUGUAAUGAUGAAAUUAGUAUUUCAAUGAUAGCAUUGUUUUAAAGAGCCAAGCUACUAGAAUCUCAGGAUGUCUGCCUAAGGUACCACAAGGCCCAAGAGGACAUGUCACAUGGAAUUUUCAGCCCAAAAGGGAAGCCUAUCAUACUUUAUCUCCCAAUAUGUUAGCUCAUAAAGUAAAACUGAAAUUUAUUUCUUAAUACGCAUACCUUUUAAUGGAGAAAAUUAUAAACACCUGGGUACUGUCCCAGAAGAAGCAGAACUCUCUAAAGAAGGUGAUUGGAGGCUGGACCACAGACCGACAUAUCUAUUGUUUCAAAAACUGCAGGAUCUCUUGUCCUGUGGGAAUGCAUUAUUCUAACAACUGGCUUAAUGUUUUUCCUUCCUCUGGAGUAGGCUGGAAAUGGGAGCUCAUAGCAACUUAUAAAUUGAAUUGUAUAGUAAAUGAACUUCUCUUAAA